rnacentral:rRNA from 1 species
AUUGAACGCUGGCGGCAUGCCUAACACAGGCAAGUCGAACGGGGCAGCAAUGCCUAGUGGCGGACGGGUGAGGAAUACGUAGGAAUCUGCCCUUAAGUGGGGGAUAACCAGGGGAAACCCGGACUAAUACCGCAUGAUCUCGUGAGAGCAAAGCAGGGGACCGCAAGGCCUUGCGCUUUUGGAGACGCCUACGUCGGAUUAGCUAGUUGGUGGGGUAAUGGCCCACCAAGGCUACGAUCCGUAACUGGUCUGAGAGGAUGAUCAGUCACACCGGAACUGAGACACGGUCCGGACUCCUACGGGAGGCAGCAGUGGGGAAUAUUGGACAAUGGGCGAAAGCCUGAUCCAGCAAUGCCGCGUGUGUGGAGAAGGCCUUCGGGUUGUAAAGCACUUUAGGCUGGAAAGAAAAAGCUUUGGCUAAUAUCCAAAGCCUUGACGGUACCAGCAGAAUAAGCACCGGCUAACUCUGUGCCAGCAGCCGCCGUAAUGA